rnacentral:rRNA from 1 species
AUUGAACGCUGGCGGCAUGCCUUACACAUGCAAGUCGAACGGCAGCACGGGAGCAAUCCUGGUGGCGAGUGGCGAACGGGUGAGUAAAGUAUCGGAACGUGCCCAGUCGUGGGGGAUAACGUAGCGAAAGUUACGCUAAUACCGCAUACGAUCUAUGGAUGAAGGCGGGGGAUAGCAAGACCUCGCGCGAUUGGAGCGGCCGAUAUCAGAUUAGGUAGUUGGUGGGGUAAAGGCGCACCAAGCCGACGAUCUGUAGCUGGUCUGAGAGGACGACCAGCCACACUGGGACUGAGACACGGCCCAGAAUCGUACGGGAGGCAGCAGUGGGGAAUGUUGGACAAUGGGAGCAAGCCUGAUCCAGCCAUGCCGCGUGCAGGAUGAAGGCCUUCGGGUUGUAAACUGCUUUUGUACGGAACGAAAAGGUUUGACUUAAUAAGCUGAGCUCAUGACGGUACCGUAAGAAUAAGCACCGGCUAACUACGUGCCAGCCGCCGCCGUAA